GCCUGCAGGAGACACUCCCGGCACUAAGUCCGGCAGCCUCGAGCCGCGCGCUGAAGGGCAGCGAAACUUGAGCAGGUGCUGCCACGCUUUGCAAGGCUGGGGUAGAAAAAUGCAGACGGAUCAGCACAGGCAAACAUUGGUAGCACAUUAGAAAAGACAGAUUUCCUACCAACAAAACACGUUUGCACCUGAAGCCUUCUGCUAGACCACACUAAUGCCAGGACAACUCUUUCCAUGUCAUCAAUCGCCGCAGACAUUUGCACAUAAAGCAAUGUUGAACCAACCCCUUGCUCAGGAUUCAGUGUUAUUUUCUACCAGCAUGCUGCCAUACACCUGCUAUUGUACUGAUAGCUGGUCAGGUUCAAUUAAUUUCUUUUAACCCACUCAGAAGUGCCUCUGUAGGUAAUGAAAAGUAUCAUUAAGCUCUUAAGUUUGUAAUAAUAGCAAAAUGUGUCAUUUGAUGUGCACGUUUCCUUUCUGUUUUAUCUGGGCUGUACCUAGCGUCAGCAAACAUCCAACAUUAAUGGGUGUUGUUUCUCUGAUCAGCUAACUUAAAGAGUGUUAGGAGGGCUGGGAAAGGGGAAUGCUUGGGCCAGGUUUGGGAAAGUAGCUUUGAGAGACAAGGCUCGAUAUCAGUAAGCAUAUGAAUAACAUAUUUAUGGAAUCAGCAAAAGCAGGUGUAUUCAAUCUAAUCAGAAGUUCAAUCUAUAUGUAUGCUAAUGCACCACAUAUUAAAUUCAUUGGCUUUACUUCCUUUGAAUUACUAAUAAAUACUUUUCCAAAG